rnacentral:rRNA from 1 species
CUCCGAAGGGUGCCCUCUUUCAUCUUCCUUCCUUUUCUUCCCUCUUGCGUAGGUGGUCGUUUCCUUCCGUUGUGAAAGCCCUGGGCUCAACCUGGGAACUGCAGUGGAUACUGGGCGACUAGAGUGUGGUAGAGGGUAGCGGAAUUCCUGGUGUAGCAGUGAAAUGCGUAGAGAUCAGGAGGAACAUCCAUGGCGAAGGCAGCUACCUGGACCAACACUGACACUGAGGCACGAAAGCGUGGGGAGCAAACAGGAUUAGAUACCCUGGUAGUCCACGCCCUAAACGAUGCGAACUGGAUGUUGGGUGCAAUUUGGCACGCAGUAUCGAAGCUAACGCGUUAAGUUCGCCGCCUGGGGAGUACGGUCGCAAGACUGAA